GACGAACGCUGGCGGCGUGCUUAACACAUGCAAGUCGAACGGAAAGGCCCCUUUGGGGGUACUCGAGUGGCGAACGGGUGAGUAACACGUGAGUAACCUGCCCUUGACUUCGGGAUAACUUCAGGCAACUGGGGCUAAUACCGGAUAGGAAUCCUUGCUGCAUGGUGGGGGUUGGAAAGCUUCGGCGGUUUUGGAUGGACUCGCGGCUUAUCAGCUUGUUGGUGGGGUAGUGGCUUACCAAGGCUUUGACGGGUAGCCGGCCGGAGAGGGCGACCGGCCACAUUGGGACUGAGAUACGGCCCAGACUCCUACGGGAGGCAGCAGUGGGGAAUAUUGCACAAUGGGCGGAAGCCUGAUGCAGCAACGCCGCGUGCGGGAUGACGGCCUUCGGGUUGUAAACCGCUUUCAGCAGGGGCGAAGCUUGUGGUGACGGUACCUGCAGAAGAAGCACCGGCUAACUACGUG
rnacentral:rRNA from 1 species